UGCCAACCGCCAUAUCAAGUCUGGAAGUCCCGCCUCCCAUCAAUUCAUUGGUUCUCACAACGAACAUACUUCCCGUACUUCCUGUAAACAAAUGCCAACGUGGGUGCUUGAAAGAUGAAUGAGGAGAGAUGUAUCGUGGAAGUAGAGAAGUACUCACUGUUAUAUGACCUGUCUUCAAAAUUCUACAAGGAUGCAACUAAAAAAGAUACGUUCUGGAGAGAGAUUGCAAAGACCAUGCGCACUUCAGAUGUUGAAUUGUGCAAAACCAGAUGGAAGUCCCUCCGUGACACUUUUGUAAGGCACCUACGGAAGGCCCAACCCAGCGGUUCUGGGGGAACCAAUCAGAAAGAAUGGAAAUACAUGAAAAUAUUAUCAUUCUUGAUACCUUACGUCCAGCCAAGAAGGCCUGCCCCACCAGCUCUCAGGUCAAAGCCAGACCCUCGUUGCUUGUGAUUUGUGGCCCAAGUAACAAUGGAGGAGAUGGCCUGGUCUGUGCCAGACAUCUCAAAUUCUUUGUGAGUGUCUCAUCCUUCUCAUCCAAUAUGUUUCUGAAAAUCAAGGCAUGCAGUAGAGAUUAGAGAAUUGGUUCAUGUUAUAAUGAACCAAUUCUUCUUAAAGGCAUCUAUUGCUUUUGGAAUCAAUGCUGUGUUGUGCUUUUUCUGUAAUAGUGACUGUCAAAUAGGCCAAUUAGUAUUUAUUACUAAGUAACAUACCUACAGUCUGUGGUUCUGAGUGUAUACUGACUAUGCUUUGUACCUACUAUUCUGUACCCAAAGAGGCCAAAUAAACCAUUGUUCCAGGGCCUGACCACCCAGUGUGAGAAGAUAGACAUCCCUUUCUUGACUGAGAUGCCUGAGGUAGUACUGGGCCAUGGCUCCUGUGUUAAUCUCACAGCAGUCUAUUUGGUUGUUAGGUGUGUGUCCUGACUCCUGGGCUACCUCACAUGAGUUUAUCUGUGAGUGCCAGUGUUGUUGUA